rnacentral:tRNA from 1 species
GAGGGUAUAGCUCAAGUGGUAGAGUGCAUGCUUAGCAUGCAGGAGGUCCUGGGUUCAAUCCCCAGUACCUCCU